GAUCAGCAGAAGAAUAUUAGACCUCACCUUGGAGAUCAUCUCCCUGCUGAGCGGAGAGGAGUACACAAUAAUGAAGAAGACAUCGGGGGACUGUGUGACUCCCAUCAUCCAUCUCCCGGAGUCAGGAGGGCAGAGCAGGACCGCUCACCCCAUCACAGAGCCUCCCCCUCACCCCCUGAUACAUAAGCAGAAGAUCCUAGAACUCACCCACAAGAUGAUGGAGCUGCUGACUGGAGAGGUUCCUAUAAGGUGUCAGGAUGUCACUGUCUAUUUCUC